CAGCUUGUUGGUGGGGUAACGGCCUACCAAGGCGACGACGGGUAGCUGGCGUGAGAGCGUGGCCAGCCACACUGGGACUGAGACACGGCCCAGACUCCUACGGGAGGCAGCAGUGGGGAAUCUUGCGCAAUGGGCGAAAGCCUGACGCAGCGACGCCGCGUGAGGGAUGAAGGCCUUCGGGUUGUAAACCUCUUUCGGCAGGGAAGAAGCGAAAGUGACGGUACCUGCAGAAGAAGCCCCGGCUAACUACGUGCCAGCAGCCGCGAUAAGACGUAGGGGGCGAGCGUUGUCCGGAUUUAUUGGGCGUAAAGAGCGCGUAGGCGGCUCGUUAAGUCGGGUGUGAAAACCCGGGGCUCAACCCCGGACCUGCAUCCGAUACUGGCGGGCUCGAGGCAGGUAGGGGAGAGUGGAAUUCCUGGUGUAGCGGUGAAAUGCGCAGAUAUCAGGAGGAACACCAGUGGCGAAGGCGGCUCUCUGGACCUGUCCUGACGCUCAGGCGCGAAAGCUAGGGGAGCAAACAGGAUCGGUAUCGGUCCUCUCCAGGGGUAACCCUGUUGGC
rnacentral:rRNA from 1 species